AUAAACACCAAGUUGUACAUCGAAAAAAAUGUAUGAUGAUUGUGUGAAUUUGGGAUUUUCUAAUCAAUGUUCUAAAUGAUAUGGAAUUCAGUAGGAAAUGCCUAAAAUGGAUGUUCUUCGGUAUCAGCAUGGUCAGAUACUCAAUUUUGAUUAAUGGUUUUCUUGCGGGCUUCAGAUGAGGAUGUUGAGAUGGAUGUGCAGACAUACUAGGAGCGAAAAGAUUAAGAAUGAGGUUAUUCGGGAGAAGAUAGGAGCCUGUGGCAGACAAAAUGAGGAAAGUGUUACCCAGUGGUGCAGCGGCUGG
rnacentral:misc_RNA from 1 species